AAGUUGGACAAGAGGCACAUCGCCUCUCCAUUAUGGGAUUUAUUUACUUCUGUUUUAUGUGUAUGGGGGUUUUGCCUCCAUCUGUGCAGCAUCUGUGUGCCAGGUGCUGACAGAAGCCAGAAGAAAGCUUCGGAUCCCUCGGAACUGGACUUACGGAUGGUCAUGAGACUCCAUGAGGGAACAUUUCUGUGCUAAAAUUUUUGAGAUGCAUGGGUAGCCUGAUCACUCAACUUGAUGCCAAGAAGUGAUUGCUGACAGGAGUCUAGUAUGGCUGUUCCCUGAGAGGUUCUACCAGCACCUGACCAAUACAGAUGU